CCUCUUCCUUCCACCCACCUUCAGACCUAGCACCCCGACUUUAACUGCAACUCCCCCAGGGGCUUGAGGCAGCGAACGAUGCGAAGCUGAUCCCAACACUGGCCUUCUUUUCUCUCACUGCCCUGGAGUGAACAUUCAUGGCAUCCCGAGAAAACCCUGCAAACACACUUUCACAGCCCCUGUGCAAGACUCAUACUUCUGCUGUGAUUGCAUCACACAGGUAACGCGGCUGUUCCAAGCAGUCCCAUUUAACCUCCAUCCAGAAGCAGGGCCAUCAGUUAACAAAUCGAACUGACUUUGCUGCUGAAAAGCUGCCUGCAUUAUCAGGAAGAAAGCGGGUGGGAAGGUGGAAUCCAGGGAAGGUGGUCUAUAUAGGCUUGCCUGUAAGAGGUCCAUCUUUGCUACUAUUCCGAGACAGCUAGACUGCUGUUUGUGGGCUGCCCAGCCUGAGCUCUUUCAGUCUAAACCCACCCUGUUCCAGUGAAGCAUCUAACAAUGUUUUACCAUUCCCAACGUUAAAAAACAAAUCUGUGAUUCGGUGAAUCUUUGGCAAAACAUUCAGAAGCAAAGUGAACCGUUUACUGAGUGGGAUUAUUUCCAGUCCGCAAAGGAAGAUGUUUGGAUUCUGGGCUGUUAUGCAGCAGUUGAAACAGAUUCAG